rnacentral:rRNA from 1 species
AUUGAACGCUGGCGGCAUGCCUUACACAUGCAAGUCGAACGGCAGCACGGGUGCUUGCACCUGGUGGCGAGUGGCGAACGGGUGAGUAAUAUAUCGGAACGUACCUUAUUGUGGGGGAUAACGCAGCGAAAGCUGUGCUAAUACCGCAUAAUCCCUAAGGGGGAAAGCGGGGGACCGUAAGGCCUCGCGCAAUUAGAGCGGCCGAUACCUGAUUAGCUAGUUGGUGAGGUAAAGGCUCACCAAGGCAACGAUCAGUAGCUGGUCUGAGAGGACGAUCAGCCACCCUGGGACUGAGCCACGGCCCAGACUCCUACGGGAGGCAGCAGUGGGGAAUUUUGGACAAUGGGGGCAACCCUGAUCCAGCAAUGCCGCGUGAGUGAAGAAGGCCUUCGGGUUGUAAAGCUCUUUAAGUUGGGGGGAAGAGUUGUAAGCUAAUAUCUUGCAGCUUUGACGUUACCAACAGAAUAAGCACCGGCUAACUCUGUGCCAGCAGCCGCCGUAA